rnacentral:sRNA from 1 species
UGACCUUCAUCGGGGGGGAAGCCGCCACC